rnacentral:rRNA from 1 species
AACGAACGCUGGCGGCAGGCCUAACACAUGCAAGUCGAGCGAGGACUUCGGUCCUAGCGGCGGACGGGUGAGUAACGCGUGGGAACUUGCCCCUUGGUACGGAAUAGCCCCGGGAAACUGGGAGUAAUACCGUAUGAGCUCUACGGAGGAAAGAUUUAUCGCCAAGGGAUCGGCCCGCGUUGGAUGAGGUAGUUGGUGGGGUAAUGGCCUACCAAGCCGACGAUCCAUAGCUGGUUUGGGAGGAUGAUCAGCAACACUGGGACUGAGACACGGCCCAGACUCCUACGGGAGGCAGCAGUGGGGAAUCUUAGACAAUGGGCGCAAGCCUGAUCUAGCCAUGCCGCGUGAGCGAUGAAGGCCGUAGGGUUGUAAAGCUCUUUCAGCUGGGAAGAUAAUGACGGUAGUCGGAGAAGAAGCCCCGGCUAACUUCGUGCCAGCCGCCGCCGUAAAAC